GCAUCCCGCCGCCGGCACAGGGACCCUCCCUUGCUGCGCGCUGCUUCGGCAAGGACUGCCCCUCUGCCUUCCCACUCCCCAUCGCUGCUGAGACGGCCGCCCUUCUCUUGCCUCUCCACCUCCGUCGGCGGAGGCGCAGACUUCCUCUCCACCAGAUCCUCGGUCGUGGACUCGACAUGAGAGCUGGAGGGCUCCCCUACGCCUACCUCCUCCCGCGGGACAAGACGCAGAAUCGGAGCGAGCGCCGAGGAGCACCGGCUAGGACGCCUUGCUCCGAUGGGUUGGGCGUGUCGCGAGCCUCACCGUGGCCAAGUACCACAUGCUCCAGAGUGGAUGGUCGACGCCCUCCCCACCUGGCCACCUCACCCGUGACUGGUUUAGCUCUGACAGAAUCAAGUCAAUCAACUAUGGGACAGGUACAGUAUGCAGUUGGGUUCUAGGGUUUAGCUACAGUGCAGGUACAUCUUCCUUGCUUAGUCUAAUUGUGAUUGUCAAAUGUUCCUUGAUUGCUAGAUUUUUGUGAAAUCUUCUUGUGCAUAUGUGAAAGGAAGCAAGCUUGGAUUCACUGGAUGAUGUAUACACACCAAGUGCACCUCGCUUUCAUAAUAGCAAGCAACCUCAUAUUGAGGUACGUUCUCUUCGCUUGCAGCCUUUUUAAGAGUUUGGUUUUUCCAGUUAGUCUCUUCUGAUGGUGAUGCUUGAUAAGUGGUGUUUAUCAGCGUGUUGUCUCAGAAAAUCGCUUUCUCCGGUGGUUGAUAAUUUUAGCUCUAUAUGCUUGUGUUGCAAACAGCAGAAGCAACUGGACAACCAUUUGUUUCAUAAACUCAAACCAUUGAACUUAAAAACAUCACCUUCCGCAGCUGGUGUGUAUCGCAGUUGAGUGAAAGCAGAUUGCCCAGUGGGCUUCUCCGUAGUGUGAAAAUCUGUCAGAAAGAAUUGAUCAUAGAUAUGAUUAUACUUGUGACUGCUACAUCAUAAAGAACAGAAAAAAUGGACAAACCAGGUGAUAUGGCCACGGGUGUCUUAGAUGGAGUGCGCUUUCAAUUUAGAAAGGAGAUGUAGCUUUGUUAUUAUCCCUUGCCUCGUGUCUUCUUUUUAAUAUCUCAUCCCUGUUUAGUGCAUACCUCUCCUUUCCCUUUGUUUCUUUAAUUCUUUUGGAUCUGCUUUUUGACCUGUCUCCAAGAAAAUCUUCAGGCUCUAUAAGGUCCAAGUAGGUAAGAGUUGGUGAUAUAUUUAUUUACCCUGGGUAAAUAGCAAAUCAAGUAAAUAAGAAAGUCUUGUACAUCUCAUUUUGGAAAUUUCAGAAAUGAUCAAGAGGUGAAGUCCACUUUGAUUUUUACCUUGUGCAGACUUAGGUUUGUUGUAGGUCCUUGUAGUCAUGGUUUUCUUUAAAAAAAAUCAUACAUCAUCGAACCAUGCUGAACUCACGUGUACAGAGUAUGCUGUCAUCAUCUUACAUAGCAUCUUCUAUAAAUCGUACACAAAAUUUCGGAAUCUGAACUACACAACUUUGAAACAAACUGAAAAGUUAUCAGCAUCUGCACUAAACAUUGGUAAGUUAGCUUUAGGAGAAACAUACUCAAAGAAUAUCUGAGUUGGCCGUUAUUCAUCUUGACAGUAAGGCACGAUAGUCAUUAAAUUCGUAUUACGAUUCUUCAUGCCAACACUACGACCUACAACAGUAAAUCAUAUAUAUAACUAUGUCCGAAACUUGACAUCAUACAAUGUGGAAGAAGGAAUUAAAUUGCCAAACAUAUAUACAUACCUUACUCUUUAACUGCGUUUACUCGAUUGCUGAGUCUGAUGAAUUGCUACAUAAAUAGCCCAAAUGAUUGCCUGGCCAUAUGUAAUGUUGGUAAACAUACAAUGUAAGUACCAGAAUUCGAUCAGAAUAAAACUUCGGCAAACCAACAUUUAGUUAUUUAAAUAAAAGUUCACCUUAUUGAGUACAGAAGUGGCACUUGGAUUAAGCAUUUGAAAAACAUUAAUGCAUGGUACCCAAUACCAAUUGGCAGGCCAACAUAUAAGAACAAAUUUUGCUUAAUUGUAUUUCAGAUAUAUAGAGAAGCAUGUACUGAUUUUUAUUUGCACAAAAUGAUUAGUCGUAGAUUGUCAUAGAGAUUUUGUAGUCAUUUCAUUCAAAUGGCUUAAAACUAACAUAAAAAUGUGGCAAUCCAUUGGCACAAAUAGACUUCAUACAGUACUCUCAAGUCUACAAUACAAUACCAAUUGGCAAGCCAACAUUCAGAGAAGCAUCUACUGAACUUAGGUUGUAGAAAUUCAGAGAAGCAUGUUCUGGAUUUAGCAAGUAGAAAUUCAGAGAAGCAUGAGUGGAGGAGCCGAUUCUACCGUUUCGUGUAUGUUGUCUACCUUUUCCUAUUAUCAGUUGGGAUGUCACUUUUUCUGUCUUCCAUGCUCAGGGUCUUUUGAUAUAGAACUUGUUGACUAUCUCACUUCCAUGCUACAAAAGAUAGGCAUCUCCUAAAUUAUGUUUGCUAAUUCUUUCAUUUAGCCAAGUUGGAUGUCAGUCCUCCCAAUUAUGUGCUUAUAUAAUAACAGAACAUAUUAGAGAAUAGAGAUAUUUUCAGUGACAUGCAUUCUGUUUCAUGCAAAGCACAUAAACUCUAUAUUAUAGGCCAUUGCAUUUUGUUUACUCGGUAUAUUAAGAAAUAGGAGUACAAUUGUAGUCAUGUUUUUUUAUGUUACUCUUUGUAUUUAUGAAUUUUGACCCAAAUCUGCCACGAGGUGAACUUUGACUGAUGUCCGUCAUUUUGGUCAAUAUUUAUUUUGUUGUCUCAAUCGCAGAUUCUUCUAAUUACGGUACUCCUAAUAAUUGAAUAUGUGGGGAGAGUCAGUGUUCCAUGAAACCAGAUUGCUUUCCUUGCUACAGAGUAUGAGCCACCUAGUUUGCUGGCUUGGUGGCGAGGGCGUCAACAUGGCGACGGCGGCAGCCCGCGCUCGCAUCCGUUGGUCAGCAGAGGAGA